AGCGAACGCUGGCGGCAGGCCUAACACAUGCAAGUCGAACGGUAACGCGGGGCAACCUGGCGACGAGUGGCGAACGGGUGAGUAAAGUAUCGGAACGUGCCCAGUAGUGGGGGAUAGCCCGGCGAAAGCCGGAUUAAUACCGCAUGAGACCUGAGGGUGAAAGCGGGGGAUCGCAAGACCUCGCGCUAUUGGAGCGGCCGAUAUCAGAUUAGGUAGUUGGUGGGGUAAAGGCCUACCAAGCCGACGAUCUGUAGCUGGUCUGAGAGGGCGACCAGCCACACUGGGACUGGGACACGGCCCAGACUCCUACGGGAGGCAGCAGUGGGGAAUUGUGGACAAUGGGCGCAAGCCUGAUCCAGCCAUGCCGCGUGCGGGAAGAAGGCCUUCGGGUUGUAAACCGCUUUUGUCAGGGAAGAAAUCUUCUGGGUUAAUACCUCGGGAGGAUGACGGUACCUGAAGAAUAAGCACCGGCUAACUACGUGCCAGCCGCCGCGGUAACAC
rnacentral:rRNA from 1 species